ACAACCAGAAAAUGCUGCAGCAAUGGAUGUGGACGCCAGUGUAUAGCUCCAUUUAGAGAAAAGCCAGGAGUGUGUCCAAGAACAACUCUCAGAAUAAAAGGUGUUUGCGCUGAGCGGUGUUCUCAUGAUGGUGACUGUCCGAAUGAUGAGAAAUGCUGCAGCAAUGGAUGUGGACAUCAGUGUACAGCUCUACCUAAAGAUAAGCCAGGAGUGUGGGUCCAAUGAGUUUCCUUGGAAAAGGAUUGUGUAAAGAGUUGUGUGUCAAUUGACGUUGACUGUCCGAACGAUGAGAAGUGCUGCUCCACUAAAUGUGGGCAUGAAUGUACACCUCUACC